AUUGAACGCUGGCGGCAUGCCUUACACAUGCAAGUCGAACGGUAACAGGUCUUCGGACGCUGACGAGUGGCGAACGGGUGAGUAAUGCAUCGGAACGUGCCCAGUCGUGGGGGAUAACUGCUCGAAAGAGCAGCUAAUACCGCAUACGACCUGAGGGUGAAAGCGGGGGACCGUAAGGCCUCGCGCGAUUGGAGCGGCCGAUGUCAGAUUAGCUAGUUGGUGGGGUAAAGGCCUACCAAGGCAACGAUCUGUAGUUGGUCUGAGAGGACGACCAGCCACACUGGGACUGAGACACGGCCCAGACUCCUACGGGAGGCAGCAGUGGGGAAUUUUGGACAAUGGGCGCAAGCCUGAUCCAGCAAUGCCGCGUGCAGGAAGAAGGCCUUCGGGUUGUAAACUGCUUUUGUACGGAACGAAACGGCGAGCUCUAAUACAGUUUGCUAAUGACGGUACCGUAAGAAUAAGCACCGGCUAACUACGUGCCAGCCGCCGCGGUAACAC
rnacentral:rRNA from 1 species